CCUACGGGUGGCAGCAGUCGAGAAUCAUUCACAAUGGCGGAAACCCUGAUGGUGCGACGCCGCGUGGGGGAAUGCAGGUCUUCGGAUUGUAAACCCCUGUCAUGUGGGAGCAAAUUAAAAAGAUAGUACCACAAGAGGAAGAGACGGCUAACUCUGUGCCAGCAGCCGCGGUAAUACAGAGGUCUCAAGCGUUGUUCGGAAUCACUGGGCGUAAAGCGUGCGUAGGCGGGUUCGUAAGUCGUGUGUGAAAGGCGCGGACUCAACCCGCGGAGGGCAGAUGAUACUGCGAGACUAGAGUAAUGGAGGGGGAACCGGAAUUCUCGGUGUAGCAGUGAAAUGCGUAGAUAUCGAGAGGAACACUCGUGGCGAAGGCGGGUUCCUGGACAUUAACUGACGCUGAGGCACGAAGGCCAGGGGAGCGAAAGGGAUUAGAUACCCCUGUAGUC
rnacentral:rRNA from 1 species